rnacentral:lncRNA from 1 species
GGUGGACUCUGCUGGCACGGGCUUGGGCGAGGUGGCAGCUGCAGCUGUGGGUGGCUUUGUUCUUAGAAGCAGCUCUCAGGGCUGUGGUCCAGCCUGGCAGCAGUGUUCCGGGAAUAGGAGCUGUUGGCCAGAGGAAGUGGCUGGGCCGUGGGAUGCAGAGAGCCACAGGCUGACUCCCGGACAGCGGAACAGAGAGUGCUGCCGACGGACAGACGGUAUGUUCGCAGUGAGGCCUGCGCCCCCCACUGGGCCCCCUCCUGGGGAGGCUGGCAG